CUCCAGACUCCUACGGGAGGCAGCAGUCGGGAAUAUUGCGCAAUGGAGGAAACUCUGACGCAGUGACGCCGCGUAUAGGAAGAAGGUUUUCGGAUUGUAAACUAUUGUCAUUAGGGAAGAUAAAAGACUGUACCUAAGGAGGAAGCCCCGGCUAACUAUGUGCCAGCAGCCGCGGUAAUACAUAGGGGGCAAGCGUUGUCCGGAAUUAUUGGGUGUAAAGGGUGCGUAGACGGAAGAACAAGUUGGUUGUGAAAUCCCGCGGCUCAACUGAGGAACUGCAACCAAAACUAUUCUCCUUGAGUGUCGGAGAGGAAAGUGGAAUUCCUAGUGUAGCGGUGAAAUGCGUAGAUAUUAGGAGGAACACCAGUGGCGAAGGCGGUCUGCUGGACAGCAACUGACGCUGAGGCGCGAAAGCGUGGGGAGCAAACAGGAUUAGAUACCCUUGUA
rnacentral:rRNA from 1 species